GAAACAUAAUUAGUAAGAGUUCAUGCAGUUGCCAAGUUGCUAUUAUUUAGAAGCGCACUCUCUCCAAGUUGGGCUCUUGCUACCAGUCACCAGAAAGUGCAGAAUGGUAACUCAAGAACAGAUGAUACUGCUGUGAAUUCCAGGGGAGUACUGCUGAGAGGUCUCUAAUGAGAAACCACGUUCCUAUCCUGACUUGCCUAUGACUCUGCAAUGUGACAACAGCAACAACAAAAGACAAAGGAGUACAGCUGUUCCUUUCUUGAGAAAUUUAACAGCAAUGCAAAUGCUCCCAGUUCAGGAGGGACUGGCUGAUCACUUAUGUCCACACUCUAGAUGGCAUCCUACUUGCUGCUGUGCUCCAGGCUCAGGGAAGGCCCCAGGGAUUCAUCCCAUCAGGACCAUUGGAUGUAGCCUGUGUCCACGUGAGACAAUGAUCAGAUUUUGCAACAGAUUGAUGCAGAAGCAGAUGUGAAUCCACCUGUCUUCUAUUAAACCAAACAUUAAAGAGAUUUGCAAUGCCGCUCUA